UGUGCUUUAAUCAGCCGCUUGUCAGUAACUGUCUCCUACCUGUAGCGUGCUGUGACGGAAGGAGACUGCGUAGCACCCCUGUCUGUCCCUUGGGGGUAGAUUUCACAGGGAGCAACUUGGGUGUACUUAUCUGUGGAAAGAAACUUUGAAAACAGUGUUUCCAGAUAAGUAUUUUGAGCCAUAAGAAAUAGGAUUUGGGUUCUUCCUGACUCCCUCAAAAUGACAGCUUCAAAAGGUUUGACUCCCAUCUCUGAUACUAGGGAAUUUGGCACACCCCUGAGAAUCUGUACUGCUCCAUGGCUAGUAGCAAGGGUGUGCACACAUAUCUUCUUUUCUACAUCUCACUCACUCAAAGGUGUGCACACACCUCUUCUACAGCUCACUCCUGCAAAGGUGUGCACACAUCUCUUCUACACUCACACAGAGGUGUGCACACAUCUCUUCUACAGCUCACUCCUGCAAAGGUGUGCACACAUCUCUUCUACACUCACACAGAGGUGUGCACACAUUUCUGCUCCUCUACAGCUCACUCACGCCUUGUAAAUCAUGUCCGGGUGGUGAGGGGAAGGUUGAUAGGUGCUUUGCCCAUGACUGUUACUGCAUACUGUAAAUGAUUUUAAGUUUUGCAGAGUGAUCAUUUGGCUCGCCUGCACUAUGAAUCUUGCGGAAUUUUUUGUCUGUUGCAUUUACUGGGACAACAACUGUGAAAGUGUUAGAUUUGUUCCCACAGUCCGCGCCCUACUGAGUAGCAGCAGGGGACAUAAAGAGGAGCAUGAUGGGAGGACGCAUCCCACCCAGCACAGAGAUGGACAGUGUGAUACUAACGGAGGAAAAGAACAGCCACGAAUACGUCAGCUAGAUCGACAGCCCACAGAACCGUAGAAAACACCAGUUCCCUCAAUAAUAACUUUAAAUGGUACUAGCAUCAACUCACCCGUUAAAGGAUGCAGACUAACUGGGUUAGAAAGUAAGAGCCAACUAUCUGCCACCUUAAACACACUUCCCUGGCAAAGAGGUCAGGAAGCUAGGUCAAAGGAUAAAAGUCAGCCUACCCAGAAAAUGGAGGAUGGGAAGAGCCGGCAUGACCAAUCUCAUACCAGAACUAGUCAGAAGAGUAAAACUACUUCUGAUAGAACAGUUGUAAAUAUUGAUGUGCUGAAUCUUGGCCUUCCAACUUCUUGAAACAAACACUAAAGGCUCUCUUGCAGUCAUUACUUUAAUGCCCCAGGAGACUUUAAUACUCCACUCUUACUUUCAGACAGGUCUUCAAAACUCAGUCAGCAGAGUUAAAUCAUAUCGUAGGGCAAUUGGAAUUAACAGACAUUUAUAGGACAGGACGGUCUGUCCAACAGAUAAGAAAGCAUGUUCUUCUCAGUGCCCCCGGAGCUGCCCAUCAAACUUUUAAGGUACACCAACACUUCUCAACCUGUUCUGCCAAAGAGAAAGCAAAAGUACUUGUUCUGUAAAGGUAGUUUUACCCUGAUAUCAGCACCACAGAGGGACAGAACAAGGAGAAAAUGGCAGACCGUUUUCUCUGAUGAACAUAAAUAUAAAAAUUCUCAACAUUUGCAAACUGAAUUCAAGAAAAGUCAAGAG
rnacentral:lncRNA from 1 species